AGUGAACGCUGGCGGUAGGCCUAACACAUGCAAGUCGAACGGCAGCACAGUAAGAGCUUGCUCUUACGGGUGGCGAGUGGCUGACGGGUGAGGAAUACAUCGGAAUCUACUUUUUCGUGGGGGAUAACGUAGGGAAACUUACGCUAAUACCGCAUACGACCUACGGGUGAAAGCAGGGGAUCUUCGGACCUUGCGCGAUUGAAUGAGCCGAUGUCAGAUUAGCUAGUUGGCGGGGUAAGGGCCCACCAAGGCGACGAUCCGUAGCUGGUCUGAGAGGAUGAUCAGCCACACUGGAACUGAGACACGGUCCAGACUCCUACGGGAGGCAGCAGUGGGGAAUAUUGGACAAAGGGCGCAAGCCUGAUCCAGCCAUACCGCGUGGGUGAAGAAGGCCUUCGGGUUGUAAAGCCCUUUUGUUGGGAAAGAAAAGCAGCAGGUUAAUACCCCGCUGUUCUGACGGUACCCAAAGAAUAAGCACCGGCUAACUUCGUG
rnacentral:rRNA from 1 species